rnacentral:misc_RNA from 1 species
CUCCGGAUAUGAGUGCA